AGUCAGGGUCAAGCCCUAGGUGUGAUGAGGACUGUGGCCCCGAGUGGUGGGCCCUGACCCCACCCCAUGAAGAAGAUUAGCUAGGGAUUUGAAUUAUUUGCACCAAUGAUCCCCUUCACUGGAGACAAUGACUGAGGCCUGAAUAUGUCAGGGAAGAGGGAGGUAGGGAGAAAAGCCAGAUCAAAACUUCUCAAAUGCCAACAUCUCUAACUCCAAAAAAGAAUGGGGU
rnacentral:lncRNA from 1 species